ACGUGAUCUGAGUUCAGACCGGAGUAAUCCAGGUCGGUUUCUAUCUAUAAAGAGCCUUUUCCAGUACGAAAGGACCGAAAAAGCACGGACUAUGUUUUAUGCWAGCCGUAUACGAUAAUCUAUGACUAAAACUCAMUAGAUAUUUAUCUCCCAUCAUCCUCAAGACAAGAGUA
rnacentral:rRNA from 1 species